AGGCAGGUGAUGGAGCCCGUGGGUGGCAGCACGUUGCUGGCCCCUGCCACCAGCCCUCGGCCUCGCCUGCUGUGCCCUGGUUCCCCACCUCGGGUCUCAAGGAGCCCCCGACCUGGCCGAAAAUGAACUUGGGGCAGCUGGAAGGCGAGGAAGAAGGGAAGAGAAAAUACCCCCGCAGGAUGCCGUGCAGACAGAUUUCCUUUCUUAGGUCUCUGCUUCCCAACUUUGUGCUCCCCGAGGCCAUCCUGGAAAUGGAAGGAGGAGCUGGGUCUCCAUCCUCUGCUUCCCCACCCUGCCACGGUGCUGUGAGCGGGCUGAAAUCGCCACCAGCCACGGGAGAGACCCAGGGACCCAUCCUCCACCUCCAAAGCCCCUUCCUUGUGCGCCCUGCCCUGCGCUCAGCAGCACCACGCACUCGCUCCCCUCCCUGGGAUUUUUUUUUCCCUACCCAACGGUGCAGCCUUCGCUGCUCAAUUCCUGCCCGAACUUCCAGGGCAAGUUUGUAUUCAGACAGAAAGCAGGUGGAGAAGGGAGGAUGGCAGCAGAAGCACGGGGCAGCGAACACAAAGCAGGACAGUGCCACGGGGGAACGGGAGAAGAUCCCACAGCAGAGGAUGGGUCAGGGGAAGAGCACGAAGUUUCGGGCACCCCAGCCUGGCCGAGUGGCUGUGGGGCCUCUCCUGAGAGGUGGCACUUGGUCCCAAGCAGCUGUAGCUCAGGGUUCCCCUCCACACCAAGCUGAACCAUUUGGGGACACCGAGUGACGUCCUGGCAAUGCCGUGUGGUGCUGCCUGGGAUGGGUUUCUGGUUGCUGUGCCGGGUGGAGGAGCCCUGCUGCUUGCUGCUCACACCCAUUACCCAUCUCACAUCCAUCACCUCUCCCUCCACCACCCCGAGCGACCAGAAGCGUUCCCCAGCCCCCAGCGCAGCGUUUCCAGCCCAGAGGAGAGCUGUGCUGAGGUCACUCCUCCAGGCAUCACCAUUUUGUGCCACGUUGCCUUUAGUUGCCAGAAAAGAUGGAAAUCGUAGCAUGGGUUUCACUCAGGCAAUGCUGCUCCUCAGACUACGUGGCUCCUUGGGUGGAAGGGGACGGAGCUCCCCACCUCCUGUCCUUGCUCUGCAGCCACACACGCGCACGGUCAGGGCAAGCUGGGUGUCAGACGGCCACGCAGGACCGGGGCAAUCACCUCCAGGGGCCCUUUGGGCAUCUCCCAGGCCCUCGUGGUGGAUGGAGCUGGCAGCGUGGAGGUUCAGCCACGUGCAGAAGUCAGCGAGACAUCGCCGCCGCCACCGGUGAGCCCCCCGUGGUCUCCACAAAGCCCAGGGUGAGGGUCUGCCACCGGGACGUCUCCAAAACCUUGCAGAUGUUGCCACGAGCCGCAGCACAGACUUUAGGGGAAGCUCCAUGGGAUCUGGUGAGCGCAGCAGGGAGGGUCCGGAGCUGCCUCGCCCCGUGCCAAAGCCUUCAGGGGCCGUGGGGUGGGGGGCUCGGGGGGCUCGGGGCCCCACGUCCCAGCGAAGGGACCCGCGCGGUGCCAGCCUCGGGCGUCCCGCAGCGCCACCGCGCCUCCUGCCUCUGCUCACCGACCACUCCAUAAAUAAAUACGUUAAAUAAAUAAAGUGACA
rnacentral:lncRNA from 1 species